rnacentral:rRNA from 1 species
ACAGGAUUAGAUACCCUGGUAGUCCACGCCCUAAACGAUGCUGACUAGUUGUUCGGGAUUUACAUCCUGAGUAACGUAGCUAACGCGUGAAGUCAGCCGCCUGGGGAGUACGGUCGCAAGAUUAAAACUCAAAGGAAUUGACGGGGACCCGCACAAGCGGUGGAUGAUGUGGAUUAAUUCGAUGCAACGCGAAAAACCUUACCUACCCUUGACAUGUCACUAACGAAGUAGAGAUACAUUAGGUGCCCGUAAGGGAAAGUGAACACAGGUGCUGCAUGGCCGUCGUCAGCUCGUGUCGUGAGAUGUUGGGUUAAGUCCCGCAACGAGCGCAACCCUUGUCUUUAGUUGCUACGCAAGAGCACUCUAAAGAGACUGCCGGUGACAAACCGGAGGAAGGUGGGGAUGACGUCAAGUCCUCAUGGCCCUUAUGGGUAGGGCUUCACACGUCAUACAAUGGUGCAUACAGAGGGUUGCCAACCCGCGAGGGGGAGCUAAUCUCAGGAAAUGCAUCGUAGUCCGGAUCGUAGUCUGCAACUCGACUACGUGAAGCUGGAAUCGCUAGUAAUCGCGGAUCAGAAUGUCGCGGUGAAUACGUUCCCGGGUCUUGUACACACCGCCCGUCAUACCAUGGGAGUGGGUUUUGCCAGAAGCCG